GAAGUGCUGCCGUCCUGCUGAAGUUGCUCAGGAACACAGAGUCUUCAGAGACUCAGGACUGAUGAGUAAGGACAGAAUAAUACUAGCCCGGCAAGAAGACCCCAGACUACCCUAGAACAGAGAUGGCAGCCCUUCUCCUGAUCGUUCCUGGGUUGUGCCACUGAGGGAGAGAGGGUGAAGACACACAGAGCCAUCAGGGUAGGCGGAGACCCUGAGGCCCCUCUGCCAGGACGAGUUAACAGCAGCAGGCAUUACCUUUCUUCCCAGGAUUUGGUUAAUGGCUGCACUUUCCUUCAGGGAAGCAGAGGCAGAUGGAUUUCUGAGUUCGAGGCCAGCCUGGUCUACAGAGUGAGUUCCAGGACAGCCAGGGCUAUACAGAGAAACCCUGUCUCGAAAAACCAAAACAAACAAACAAACAACAACAACAACCCCCCCCAAAACAAACAAAAAAGGAUCAAGGAACCCCACCAUCCUGCCUAACCUAUAGGUGACUGGUUAGCUUAUGGCCAGAAGUGGCAGUCACUAAUAUCCCUGGACUGUGACAUCAUGUUGGCAGCCCCGGCCUGAGGACUCACCUGGACAUUGAAGCGUUCAUGGCGAGGGCAGGCUGUCCCCAGGAGCUUGAUGAGCACGGCAAAGGCUGAGGCUACCGUCAGGAAUGCAGAGCCUCAAGUGGACAACCUCAGUACAAGACGUAGGAGCCACACGGGCUUGCUCAGCAAGGAAUGCCAUCCGAAACAGAGCCAAGUCCUUCCAGCAAUGCCCCAUCCGAAACAGCCAAAUCCUUCCAGCAAGCUACAUAGGUCGAGCACCUUCUCAGCCCAGGAUUGCUCAGGUGUUCAUGCACACCAGAAGAGGGAAUCAGAUUCCAUUAUGCAUGGUUGUGAGCCACCUUGUGGCUGCUGUGAAUUCAACUCAGAAGAGCAGCCAGCCUCUUAACUGCAGAGCCAUCUCUCCCUUAACCUGAUCAGAAACCAGCUGCAUGGGAUUGAUCGCUCAGGAGAGUAGACCCUUCCCUUCUGCUGUCAAUCACGAUGGAGUCCUGGACUUGACAAUGGCUGCCCAGGAAAUCACCCAACAUUUCAGUAGACAACUAACAACGCUAUUCAGAAUAUGAGUUUUGUCAAUCAUCCAUGACCCCUUAGCUGAUAGAGAAGGGCAGGGCUCCCGGGGAGAAUGGACACUGAAAAUGUUUGCAGUGACAUCAGUUUCUUUGAAACAUCCCAAAGUCCAUGGGGAGGGAGCAGGUCCAGUAGAGGUCGUUCCUUCAGACACACUGUGGGUGGUGUCUGCCAGAGCUGGUCAACUGUGGGGCUGGUAGGGGAUCCCGGAGGACUGAGACUCCACAGCAGCACCCUGCCACCCUCCGACUCUGCCACCUGCCCCGGAGCAGCUAAGCCAGGGGUCCCUCCAUUCUUCUGUCACCCGACCCAGGUAAAUAGAAGAAAGUAUCAGCUUUGCCAC